rnacentral:rRNA from 1 species
GAUCAUGGCUCAGGAUGAACGCUAGCUACAGGCUUAACACAUGCAAGUCGAGGGGAAACGACAUCGAAAGCUUGCUUCCGAUGGGCGUCGACCGGCGCACGGGUGAGUAACGCGUAUCCAACCUGCCCACCACUUGGGGAUAACCUUGCGAAAGUAAGACUAAUACCCAAUGAUAUCUCUAGAAGACAUCUGAAAGAGGAUUAAAGAUUUAUCGGUGAUGGAUGGGGAUGCGU